rnacentral:misc_RNA from 1 species
AAGUCAACAAAAUGAACCAUGUGCACCAGUUGUCAUAUCAAAGAAGAAAAAAAGAGCAGCCACAGAAGACAUAGCUAGAAUUGCUUUAGAAGAUCUUGUUAAAUACUUUGAUCUUCCCAUUGUUGAAGCUUCAAGAAAUCUGAAAGUUGGACUAACAGUGCUGAAGAGGAAGUGUAGGGAAUUUGGUAUUCCCCGUUGGCCACAUAGGAAGAUCAAAUCCCUUGACAGUCUUAUCCGUAAUCUCCAGGAAGAGGCAGAACGUCAAAAGCAAGAGAAUGAGGAUGCUGCCAUGGCUGUGGCGAAGAGGCAAAGGAUGCUGGAGAGCGAAAAAGAA